GUGUGACGGGGUUACCCAAAGUGUUCAAUUUUGAACUGUGGUAGGUGAGUAAUGUUCCCUACUAGAAAGGAGAGGGCAAGGCUGGUGCCAGCCGCCGCGGUAAAACCAGCUCUUCAAGUGGUCGGGAUAAUUAUUGGGCUUAAAGUGUCCGUAGCCGGUUUAGUAAGUUCCUGGUAAAAUCGGGUAGCUUAACUAUCUAUAUGCUAGGAAUACUACUAUACUAGAGGGCGGGAGAGGUCUGAGGUACUACAGGGGUAGGGGUGAAAUCUUAUAAUCCUUGUUGGACCACCAGUGGCGAAGGCGUCAGACUGGAACGCGCCUGACGGUGAGGGACGAAAGCCAGGGGAGCGAACCGGAUUAGAUACCCGGGUAGUCCUGGCCGUAAACGAUGCAUACUAGGUGAUGGCACGGCCAUGAGCCGUGUCAGUGCCGUAGGGAAACCGUUAAGUGUGCCGCCUG
rnacentral:rRNA from 1 species